GAUGAACGCUAGCUACAGGCUUAACACAUGCAAGUCGAGGGACCGGCGCACGGGAGAGUAACACGUAUCCAACCUGCCCUUUACUCGGGGAUAGCCUUUCGAAAGAAAGAUUAAUACCCGAUAUAAAGGAUGGGGAUGCGUGCCAUUAGGUUGUUGGUGAGGUAACGGCUCACCAAGCCUUCGAUGGAUAGGGGUGCUGAGAGGAAGGUCCCCCGCAUUGGAACUGAGGCACGGUCCAAACUCGUACGGGAGGCAGCAGUGAGGAAUAUUGGUGAAUUAGCGCUAGCCUGAACCAGCCAAGUAGCGUGAAGGAUGAAGGCUUAUGGGUCGUAGACUUCUGUUAUAUAAGAAUAGGUAUUGUAUGAAUAAGGAUCGGCUAACUCCGUGCCAGCAGCCGCGGUAAUAC
rnacentral:rRNA from 1 species